rnacentral:tRNA from 1 species
GGGGCUGUAGCUCAGUGGCAGAGUGCUUGCCUAGCAUGUAUGAGGCACUGGGUUCGAUCCUCAGCACCUUA